UCCAAAAUGGCUGUUGCACUGAUCAGACCGGGAUGAGCUACAGUGGAGUUCUAAGAGGCGGGCGGGGGGGGGCCUUUACAGACCCCUCCCCCACGGCCUUUAGGAAGCCCCCCCCCGAAGGGGCUACAGGUUUUAAAAUUUUUUUGGGGGGGAAACACACCAAUAAUUCGUGAAUUGGGGGGGGUAGCAUGGCACUGGCACCCACCCCAAGUGGCACCUAGGGCAUGUGCCCUGGCUGCCCCCACUAGUUUUACCUAUGGAUAUAGGAGAUACUAGUUAUCACCAACAGUGACAAAAAGAACAGCUCCUGUGUUCACCAGGCAUUGGCUUUGGAAGCUUAUGGCAAGGACUAGGCAUGUAGGUGGAACGCAGGUGGAACACAGACUUCACACUUCAUCUACUAGAACUUUCUGACGUGCAUGAUGUGGCUGGAAAACUACUAUUUCAAAAACUCUGAAAUGAUAGACAGUGAUGGUGACAUUGGAGGUGGACUGUGUAUGUUGAAGAUGGAUACUCCAAAAAGAAAAAGAAGUCAAUACAAUUAGUACCAUACUGCAUGUUUAGUAUUACUCAUUGCAUGCACUGACAGAUAUGAAACUGUUAAAAGAAUAUCUACCUAUUUUAACUGCAUUAAAAUGCACGUAUCAUGAAGUAACAAUUGUUUUUUCCAAACAUGAGAAUACAAUCGCUUGAGAAGCCCACCCAAAUGCUAAUGGCCAGGGAAAACAGGCAGUCUCUUAGACAAAAACAAUGUGAAAAGAAUAUUUAUUAACCUGAAGGUCCUACUCCCUUCUGAAUCUUCAAAACAGGAGCACUUUUCAUUAUGCUGCUGCAUUCAGGCUUUGCAUUUCUUUGUUGCACUGUUUACAUUUUGUAUGUAUGCCUAUCUUCCCCACAGGUACAGGAACUUCAUUAAAAUAUUCUCAAAUUGCU